UACGUAGGGCAGCGAGCGUUGUUCGGAGUUACUGGGCGUAAAGCGUGCGUAGGCGGUGUCUUAAAGUUUGUUGUGAAAUCUCCCGGCUUAACCGGGAGGGUGACGGCGAAUACUGAGAUGCUGGAGUGCCGGAGAGGUAAGCGGAAUUCCUGGUGGUAGCGGUGAAAUGCGUAGAGAGUGUGGAGGAACACCGAUGGCGAAGGCAGCCCCCUGGGUUAACACUGGACGCUCAGGCACCGAAAGCGUGGGGAGCAAACAGG
rnacentral:rRNA from 1 species